CUUAUUGACAUACGACAUUUUCUACUGGUUUGGGUAACUUUGGUUUGACUGUAGUUUACUUCAAAGGUUUUCUUUUUAUGCUUCGGUGGACCGCACACUUUCUUUAUUUCUAUUGGUCAUUAUAUUUUGGCGCUAUAUUUCUUUUGUUCUUUUAUGCUGGUCAUCACUUUUCUAUAUACUGGUGGACAUGUUGAUAUGUGCUGGAUGAAAUUCUAAGUUUGAACCUAUAUUCGUUUUUAGUUUUCUUUCUAUUCCAUAUUCAGGUAUAUUUUAUGUAAUCCUGGGAUGAUGUAAAUCAAUUUCCAUAGAUAUAAAUCAGGAGGCCUUUGCACCUCAUGCGAGGGUACGUUUUAUGUAUAUUUGUUAUUAUCCUGAAAACUAGUCCAGAAAUAAAAGGAACCAUCUUAAAGAAAGUAUUGUGUUUAUUUAAGCCCUAGAAAGUGCUACUACAUAUAU